rnacentral:rRNA from 1 species
GAUGAACGCUGGCGGCGUGCUUAACACAUGCAAGUCGAACGGAAAGGCGCCUGCUUGCCGGGGUACUCGAUUGGCGAACGGGGGAGUAACACGUGGGUGAUCUGCCCUGCACUUCGGGAUAAGCCUGGGAAACUGGGUCUAAUACCGGAUAGGACGAUGGUUUGGAUGCGAUUGUGGAAAGAUUUUCGGUGUGGGAUGAGCUUGUGGCCUAUCCGCUGGUUGGUGGGGUAAUGGCCUACCAAGGCGUCGACGGGUAGCCGGCCUGAGAAGGUGUACGGCCACAAUGGGACUGAGAUAGGGCCCAGAAUCCUACGGGCGGCAGCAGUGGGGAAUAUUGCACAAUGAGGGCAAGCCUGAUGCAGCGACGCCGCGUGGGGGAUGACGGCCUUCGGGUUGUAAACUCCUUUCGCUAGGGACGAAGCGCAAGUGACGGUACCUGGAGAAGAAGCCCCGGCUAACUACGUG